rnacentral:rRNA from 1 species
UACGUAGGGCGCAAGCGUUGUUCGGAAUUACUGGGCGUAAAGGGUCUGUAGGUGGCCAACUAAGUCAGACGUGAAAUCCCUCAGCUUAACUGGGGAACUGCGUCUGAUACUGGUUGGCUUGAGUGCAGGAGAGGAAUGCGGAAUUCCAGGUGUAGCGGUGAAAUGCGUAGAUAUCUGGAGGAACACCGGUGGCGAAGGCGGCAUUCUGGACUGCAACUGACACUGAAAGACGAAAGCCAGGGGAGCAAACGGG